GUCAGGCCAGCAGGGAGCGCUGGUGAGUAAGUCAUAAUCACAGAAUCUUGGGACGACGUGUCACAGAGGCUUGCUUUGAACAUCAGAAUCUUGGCACUGGGAGGGAAGAGAAAGCAUUUGGCUCAGAAGACUUUGGCUUCUGAUAGUCAUGGAUUCACUAGGCUGCUGAGGGAGGGUCAUAACCUGUUGGAACCAUUUUUCGUGAGAACCUGAGCAUGGAGACUGUGAAUUGAGACGAGACCAAGAGAAGUGACAAGACCAGGUACCCCUUUUCUUUCGGAUCCUCUCUUCAUGACUUGUUCAUUCAUUUAUUCAUUCAUUCCUUACUUAUUCAGGCCCACAUAGUGUCAUACAGUGUGUUAGAUGCUGAAAACAGUGGCCAGCAGGAUAGCAAGGAUGUCUGUGCUCAUGAAACUAACAAACUAGAGGAGAAGUCAGACAAUCAGGGAAAUCAUAAUUAUGACAGAAACAUAAUGAGAGAUACAAGGAGGCCCAAGAAGGUAUAUCAGGGACACCAACCCUAUGGGUUAGGGAAGCUUUUCUGAAGGGAGUGGUGUUCAAGCUGAGAUUUCAAGUUGAGUAACACGUGGUGAGGGUGGGGGAUGGGAACCAGGGAAGGGUGUUCCAGACCAUGGGAAGAGUACCUGCCACGACCCCGACAGAGGCAGCUGGAAUUUAGCAGAGGUCUGCUCUGAGCCAGUCUGACAAUCAUGAAAGGAACAGUGGCUGGAGGUGAGGCCAGGCUGGUGGGCUGUGGUCAAAGACAGGUCAGCCUUGCCAAGACCUUAGGGGUCUUGGAUCCUGCUCUGUAUUGAUCCUCACAGAAACAGAACAGUAAGAAGACCUUAGAAGGUGGCCCUGGCUCUGUCACAAGUGUCAUGACAAGGUCUGGCAGGCAUCCUUGGGGCAGGCUAUGUGGGAGGAGGGGCACAGAGCCGGGAGAAUCUUGACCUAAGGAGGAGAAAUUGCCUUGCGGGAGGCAAGGUGGUCCAGCAGGCAAGUGUACUAGGCAGGAGCCAAGGUUCUGAAGGCAGGUAAAGGAGGAUAAACUACACCUGGAUUAAAGCAGCAGCACCAGUCACGGGAUCUGUUACAAGGGACAUCUGCUAGUUAAAGGGGCACAGAUACCAUUCACCAGGCAGCAAGACAAUGGAGACAGCGAUGACUCAGGAGGCAAGGGACCUGAGCGAACUGUCAUUUCCCUCCCUGUGCCACAGUGCACAAGACUGAUUCCUAACCUACUCUCCAUCUUUGACGUGGCAAGUGCCGCCCCACCCUCCCCGAUUUGGGACCUGUUCCUGGGAUCUGCCCACAGAGGACGUGCUUGG
rnacentral:lncRNA from 1 species